rnacentral:rRNA from 1 species
GACGAACGCUGGCGGCGUGCUUAACACAUGCAAGUCGAACGGAAAGGCCCUGCUUGCAGGGUGCUCGCGUGGCGAACGGGUGAGUAACACGUGGGUGAUCUGCCCCUUACUUUUGGAUAAGCCUGGGAAACUGGGUCUAAUACUGGAUAGGACCAUGCUGUCGGUGGUGUGGUGGAAAGAUUAGUUUCGGUAAGGGAUGAGCUCGCGGCCUAUCAGCUGGUUGGUGGGGUGGUGGCCUACCAAGGCGUCGUCGGGUAGCCGGCCGGAGAGGGGGGACGGCGGCAUUGUGGCGACUGUACGACGGAGACGCCUACGGCAGGCGGCAGUGGUGGAGAUUGCACAAUGAGGGCAGGACGGAUGCUGCGGCGCCGCGGGGGGGGUGACGGCGUUCGGGUUGUAAUAACCUGCCAUCCAUGACGAAGCCGUGGGAGUGACGGUAGUGGGAGAAGAAGCACCGGCUAACUACGUG